rnacentral:rRNA from 1 species
GACGAACGCUGGCGGCGUGCUUAACACAUGCAAGUCGAACGGAAAGGCCCUGCUUUUGUGGGGUGCUCGAGUGGCGAACGGGUGAGUAACACGUGAGUAGCCUGCCCUUGACUUUGGGAUAACUUCAGGAAACUGGGGCUAAUACCGGAUAGGAGCUCCUGCUGCAUGGUGGGGGUUGGAAAGUUUCGGCGGUUGGGGAUGGGCUCGCGGCUUAUCAGCUUGUUGGUGGGGUAGUGGCUUACCAAGGCUUUGACGGGUAGCCGGCCUGAGAGGGUGACCGGCCACAUUGGGACUGAGAUACGGCCCAGACUCCUACGGGAGGCAGCAGUGGGGAAUAUUGCACAAUGGGCGGAAGCCUGAUGCAGCAACGCCGCGUGCGGGAUGACGGCCUUCGGGUUGUAAACCGCUUUCGCCUGUGACGAAGCGUGAGUGACGGUAAUGGGUAAAGAAGCACCGGCUAACUACGUG